rnacentral:rRNA from 1 species
UGGCUCACCAAGGCAACGAUCAUAGCCGACCUGAGAGGGUGAUCGGCCACAUUGGAACUGAGACACGGUCCAAACUCCUACGGGAGGCAGCAGUGGGGAAUAUUGCACAAUGGGCGAAAGCCUGAUGCAGCAACGGCGCGUGAGCGAUGAAGGCCUUCGGGUCGUAAAGCUCUGUCCUCAAGGAAGAUAAUGACGGUACUGAGAGA